rnacentral:rRNA from 1 species
GGCGAACGCUGGCGGCGUGCUUAACACAUGCAAGUCGAACGAUGAAGCCUUUCGGGGUGGAUUAGUGGCGAACGGGUGAGUAACACGUGGGCAAUCUGCCCUGUACUUUGGGAUAAGCCUUGGAAACGGGGUCGUAAUACCGGAUAUCGCUUACCUCCGCAUGGGGGUUUGGUUUGAAAGUUACUGGCGGUACGAGGAGUGAGCCCGCC